rnacentral:rRNA from 1 species
UCCGAGUGGUGUGGAUGUUUAUUGGGCCUAAAGCAUCCGUAGCUGGCUAAGUUAGUCCCUUGUUAAAUCCACCGGAUUAAUCGUUGGAUUGCGGGGGAUACUGCUUGGCUAGGGGACGAGAGAGGCAGACGGUAUUUUCGGGGUAGGGGUGAAAUCCUAUAAUCCCGGGAAGACCACCAGUGGCGAAGGCUGUCUGCUAGAACGCGCCCGACGGUGAGGGAUGAAAGCUGGGGGAGCGAACCGGAUUAGAUACCCGGGUAGUCCCAGCUGUAAACGAUGCAGGCUAGGUGUUUGGACGGCCACGUGCCGUUCUAGUGCCGCAGGGAAGCUGUUAAGCCUGCCGCCCGGGGAGUACGAUCGCAAGAUUGAAACUUAAAGGAAUUGCCGGGGGAGCACCACAAGGGGUGAAGCUUGCGGUUUAAUUGGAGUCAACGCCGGAAAUCUCACCGGGAGCGACAGCAGUGUGAAGGCCAGAUUAAAGGUCUUGCCAGACGAGCUGAGA